UCGCUACUACCGAUUGAAUGGCUUAGUGAGCUCUCUGGACUGUUGCACUCCGUUGGAAACUUCGGUGAGCAUACGGGAAGGAGAUCAAACUUGAUCAUUUAGAGGAAGUAA
rnacentral:rRNA from 1 species